CGCAUAGUAAUUCAGUUGGAAGAAUAUUUGUCUGCUAAACAAACGGUCGCAGGUUCAACUCCUGCCUUUGCAA
rnacentral:tRNA from 1 species